AUGGGUUGGGCUGGGUUGGG
rnacentral:miRNA from 1 species